GACAGAGGGGGCAAGCGUUGCUCGGAAUUACUGGGCGUAAAGCGUGCGCAGGCGGUUUUGUAAGCCGGAUGUGAAAUCCCCGGGCUUAACCUGGGAAUGGCAUUUGGGACUGCAAGGCUUGAGUGCGGCAGAGGAGACUGGAAUUCCUGGUGUAGCAGUGAAAUGCGUAGAUAUCAGGAGGAAUACCGAUGGCGAAGGCAGGUCUCUGGGCUGACACUGACGCUCAUGCACGAAAGCGUGGGGAGCAAACAGG
rnacentral:rRNA from 1 species